rnacentral:rRNA from 1 species
GACGAACCGAGCGAACGUUGUUCGGAAUCACUGGGCUUAAAGGGCGCGUAGGCGGGCGGCUAAGUCCGCGGUGAAAUCCUCCAGCUCAACUGGAGAACGGCCGCGGAUACUGGUCGUCUCGAGGAACGUAGGGGUAUGCGGAACUAUCGGUGGAGCGGUGAAAUGCGUUGAUAUCGAUAGGAACUCCGGUGGCGAAGGCGGCAUCCUGGACCGGCAUUGACGCUGAGGCGCGGAAAGCCAGGGGAGCAAACGGG